CAGCUCCCCUUUGCUCUCUUGCUUGUGUUCCCUUGCUCUUCUACCUUCUGGCUCCGCACAGCUCAGCAAGAAGCCCUCACUAGAUGCCACCGCCUUCAUCUUGGACUUCCCAGCCUGUAAAGCUGGCAAAGGAAAAGCAAUGGAAAGAAAACUGGUGAAGGGCUUGUUGUGAGAAAAAGGAAAGAAGAAAAGAAUGGAAGGAGAGUACAUAAUGGAACUGGAGAUACAAAAACUAUAAAAGUAAUGGCCAUCAUAAUGAAGUCAAUAAUAAAUGCUGGCAAGGCUGCAGGGGAAAAGGAUCCUUCUACAUUACUGUGUUUCAGAAACAUUCCAGAUUGACAGAUUCUGUAACUUAGAAGACAUCAUGUACACUGUGAAGUACAGAGAAAACCUAGCUGCUGGGAGCACACCCAGAACAGGCAACUGCUGGAAAGCCCACAGCACAUUUAUUGGGAAAAGAAUCUCAGCAAACAAAAGAGAUAAGAUAGUAAAUUAUACAAAAAUUGUGCUAUAGUGGGUCAAUAGUCUGUAUAUAUAAACAGUGG
ensembl:lncRNA